rnacentral:snRNA from 1 species
AUGCACAUUUUGGCAGCACAUAUGCUAUAAUUGAAUGAUACAGAGGAGGUUACCAUACCCUGCACCAGGAUGACACACAAAUUCAUGAAGCAUUUAUGUAUCUU